GGUCUCAGCCUCCAAGCCGGGCGGAGCUCUUAGAGGCACUGGCUUAUCACCCACGCUCUGGGUCUGGCCGCGCUUUCCGGGUUGCCUCCAGAGCCAAACAGAUGGUUGGGCCCAGGUUGCAUACGUUUGCAAUGAAAAAUUCACUAUGGACAUGAGAUAUUAGGAAGGCGUCAAAGCUGAUGUCAAUGGCAGAGGAAGAAUUAGAAGCUGUGUUUCCUUUGAGGUCUGAAGAUCCAGUUCUAGCUUUUCCUAGCACAUACAAGCUUCGGGCAAAGCCCCUCCACUUCUAAGCCUCAUAAUGGGGAUGAUAUUUUUAUCGUCUGCCUCGUUUGGUUGAUACAGAGGUCAAAGUCAUAUUUUCCCAAUCAUUUAUUCACUACUUGAACCAAAACUGGACCCUAAUGUGUUGCAGAAUAACUUGGCAUCUAUGAAGCACCAUGUAAAAGUAUUAUUAGAAAUACUUCUCUCAGCAUCCUGAAGUAGCCUGCCUCCCAAGCUGCCUUAUUCCUAGGAGAAUCUUCCUCCAUCAUCACUGUACCUAGCCCAGGGAACCUGACAGGGGAUGAAAGAAGGGUAUCUCACCUGGACUGGUGGUCUUGAAACCUGGAAAAAAAUGCUUUCCCUCUUUCUCAUGAAAACCAUUGCUGAGAGCUGAUGUUUAGGAUGCAGACCUAGUGGGAAGAGCAACCGCAUAUGGCGUUCUUACCAUAUAGAAGACACUGUGUCAGGAGACUGACAUGCAGAGAUGUUAUUCUUUUUAAUUUUUUAGAUGAGGAAACAGAGGCUCAGAAGUACACAUUAGCGCAAGAUCACAAGAACCCAGAUUCUUCAGACCCUAAAGUCCUUGCACUCACAGGACCCUCUCCCGUCUCCCCGGACGUGCGGUUCACUGAAGUCUCCCGGAUUCUGACUCAUGUGCCCAGAAGGAAGGACAGAGGGCAGGCCUUCACCUUCUCCUGGAGAGGGAGAGAGCAGCUAAGACUGUGGGCUGAGAAAGUGUUGGGCCUGCCAGGGUGUGUGGAGUGCAGGCCUGGGAAGGAUGAAGGCUGGGAUUCUAGCCUUGACCUCCAGGUGCAAGGUAGAGGCCCUCCUCCUGCCCCUAAGGACAACCUGACAAGGUGUCUCAUUCAGGCUGGAGCCCCUUCUGGGAGAAGGGGAGUGGGGGUGCGUGUGGCUGACCCCUGCCUGCACUCAGGCUCUCCAGCCUCUUUUCCGUCAGGAGACGGUGCAGCUUGGUCGAGAGGGUGGUGCGGGUGUAGGAGGCUCCUGUGCAUUUCUGGUCAUUUCUCUGGCUAGAGUGUAAGCUGUGUGCCUAGUGAUGGUGGGGCACCUAAGCUGGGCUUGUCGUGGGCUGAUGGCGGUGUGGAGUGUAUGGUCCCAGAUGGGUCUCUGGUGCUGUCCUGGUGGACCAUGGCUGUGACUUUCCACUGCCCUUCAAAGGUUCAUUUGUAGUUGAGGCACCAGUGAUCUGUGUGGCCGAAAUACAGCUGGAGAAGGCAGUCGAGUAACUUAGGUCACCCAGACUAGACCCCUCACCUUCACUGUCUGGUCGGGGCCUCUGCCCCUGGUGCUGCUACAGAAACCUCACCCUUCUCACAGCACAUUAUGGCUGUCUCUUUACUUAGAGAUGGCAGGUUCCUCGGGGACACAGGAUCGUUGUGCUGGCCUCAGGAUUCCCAGUGGCUUUGGUGACACUUGAGCCUGAGAUGCUCCUCACUAAGGUAGAACCCAGACAACAGCUUUGGCCCAAUUACAGGAAUGAGGAAAACCAUGGAAAGUGGGGAAACGAAGGUAAAUGGUUGAUUGUAUCUCUGGGAAGUGUCUUUCUGCUCCUCUGGGCUGCGAAUGAGAACCUUGAGUGUAAAGGGGAGUAGAAGGGACUGUCUAUGCUGCCUGCACCCUGGCUCCAGCCAGAGAGCUGAGGCUGGCUAGAGCGGCUUCCCAGAAAAGGGACAGCAGCUUUGCUCGGGGGCAAAUCCUAUGUUGCCUUUUCAGAUAAUUUUAAUCUGCUCUCGUGCAGGCUGCACCUAUUAUUUCCAUUUUACCUUGUAUUUAAAGUGAAACCCCUGAAAAUUCAGAAGGCAAAUAAAGCAAUCCUGCUAAUUUCAUGAAGAUGAAACUGUAACAGCAGCUUUUAUAGAGUGUGAGCCACUCACUGAGAACCUGGUAGCCAGAGAAGGAGAAGGAAGAGGUGUGCUAUGACUCAUCCCACGAGGCCAGAACUUCCUCUAGCUUCCUCUAGCAUGUAGAGAUUCUGGAGGGAGGGGGAGCUCUGCUAUGAAGGAACCUUCCAGAAACUGCAGCCCUGUGAAUUUUCCCUUUGACUUGCCUUGUUUCCUUUCUCCUUGAUGAGACCAGAAGAGUGACAUGGCUGUCAGAAAACGCUGGUCCCUGUGGGUUGGCGAACAUCUCCCACUGGUACCUCUGUGCCAAGGUUCCUCUGUGCCAGGGGGUCUGUGCCGAGGACAAGCCUCUGUCUGGUGCCCUGUGAGGCAUGCAGCCUAUCUCCAAAGUUAGUCGGAACGCAGGGGAGGGAGGGCCCGUCUGUCCUCUCAGUAAUCCCCUUGUCACCGCCACCUCCGAAGCCUGCUCACCCCAACAGAGGGGAUGUGAUGGGCAGCCUGUCAAAUAGAUUGUGAGUGCAUUAGCAGGAUUAGCGGUGAAGACAAAUAAUUCAGUGUCCCAAAGUUCAUUCCCAGCCUCUGAGUGGUCUGCUUGGCUGCCAGAGUGAGCAGGCGCAGGCUUCAGAAUUCUUGUCACCUGAAGUUGGCCUCAAGUGGUCAGAGGCACAGUCGUCCCACUGUGUUUGACUUGUGGUUAUGUGUUUUUAUUCCACAGCAGAACUGAAUUCAUAGUAUUAGUGUAAAAUACUGUGUAAGGGUUCUUUAGCUUCUUACUGAUAAACUAGCUGAAGUAUUAUAACAGCCCCUCAUAACCAGAUGCUUUGUUCUUGGCAGUGAUGGAAGCAUUAGCAAUUUUAUUUUUGCUUGUUGAAGUCAUAAACUCUCACUGUGGAAAAAUUGGAUCAGAAAAGUAUGAAGGAGAAAUUUAAAAUACUUAAUCCUUUCACCACUUAUUUACCUCUGAUACCAUUGUGUUGUAUUUUAAGGCAGUCUUUUGCCUAUGCACAUAUAUAUGUGUGUGCGUGUACACAUAUGCAUAUGCAUAUUUAUACAUAUAUGUACACAUGUGUAUAUGCAUAUAUAUGUGUAUAUAUAUAUACACACACACAUAUAUAGAACAAAAUUGCAAUUAUAUUGUAUAUUGGAUUUGGUUUCCUUUUUAAAAAAAUCAAAUAUAUCAUCAACAUUUGCCAGUUUUCUUGCACUUUAAAUGAAAGCACCUAUGAAAGAUUUAUUGUGGAUAUAUUUGCAUUAGUUUUCUAUUGAUGUGUAACAAAUUACCAGAAACUCAGCAACUUACAACAAUACCCACUUAUUAGCUCACAGAUCAGUAGUCAGGAGUUGGGGUCUCUGCUCAGGUCUCAGAAGGUCAAAAUCAAAGUAUCAGCUGGGCUAAGUUCUCCUCUGGAGGCUCUGGGAAGCAUCGCUUCCAAGCUCGUUCUUGUCAGCAGGGUUUAGUUACUCGAGAUGGUAUAUGGCCAAAGUCCUCCUGUCCUUGCUGGUCAUAAGGUGGGGACUUCUCUCAGCAGCUGGAGGCCACCUGUCUUCCUUUGACAUAUGGCUCCCUUGAUCUGCAAGCCAGCCACAGUGCGUUGAAUCCUCAUCGUGUUUUGAAUCUCUGUCUUCUUCUCUGAUCCACUGGAGGAAACUCUUUGCUUUGAAAGGACCCAUGUGACUAGGUCAGGCCUACCUUAACCUCUCCAACUUAAGGUAUACUGUGUCCUAUAAUGUGACCUAAUCAGGGGCAUAAAUGCCAUCGUAUGACAGUCACCGGGAUGAUGCAGGACAUGUAUCUCUACUUACCGCAAUAUUAUAAUUUAUUUAAUAACCUCCUGGUUUUAAAAAACUGAGUGGCCACGAUGCCGUAGUUAAGCCUACAAAGCAUGGCUUUCUGGAUAAAUGAGAUAUAUUGCCACUUUGGAGCUUCAUUUGGGAAUCUUGCUUUUGGGGAAUCAGGCGUGAGAGUGGGGCUACUGCAGUCUUUUGCUGGAUCAUAGAAUAAUUGGUGUGUUAAUUUUCUAAGGUUACCAAAACAAAAUAUCAUGAACUGAAUGGCUUAAAAUAAUAGAAAUUAGUCGUGUCAUAGCUCUGGAGGCUAGAAUCCUGAAAUUAAGGUAUCAGUAGGGCCAUGAUCCCUGUGAAAUCUUCAGGGGAAUCCCUUCCUCUCUCUUCUUAGGCACCGAUAGUUAGCCGGCAGUCCUGGGGUAUCUCUGCUUUGCAGCUAUAUGACUCCAGGGUCUGCCUUCCCCAUCAAGGCCAUUGUUUCUGAGUGUCUGUGUCCUCUCAUGGACAUCUUAUAAAGACACUGGUCAUAUAGGAUUAGGGACCCACCCUAUCUCAGUAUAAUCUCAUUUUAACUUAACUAAUUACAUCUGUAAUGAUUCUGUUUUCAAAUAGGGUCACAUUUGGAGGUUUUGGGUGUUAGGACUUUAGUAUAUCUUUUUUUUUAAGGGGAUACAAUUUAACAUUUAAUGAUUGGUAUAGAAUAUUAGGUGACUAUCUUAGUGGAAACUGAAUGGACAUCUAAAAUAGUAGGCCUUGAACCAGAAGCAGAUGACACAGGCAGUUAUUUCAGCAGAGAUUGGGAAAGCUGGCUGGGCUUUGAGGUAGCUGGUAGUGCCAGGCCAGGUUUGACUCAUAAUUCCUGAAAAUAGGACUACAGUAAUAGCAGUGUCCUGGGGUUAAGGCCACACCUGAAAUUUCUUGAUGUAAAGUUUUGGCUAGUGGCCCUGAAGUUUGGUGAGCUGGGUGCCAUAGACAAAGGGCAGAUAGAGCUCCGGCUUCUCUGACAAGCGGUUCCUGGAAGCAGUGACUAUAUAUCAUGGUGGAAAAUGUGUUUCCUCCUCUCUUCUGUUUUGUUGUUGACUUAAGUUUGAUCUUUUUAGUUUGAAAAGUGAUUUCAGUUUGCGAUCUUUGGUAAUUUUCACAUCCACCCUGUGAAGUUAAAAUUACUGUUUCCUUUGAGGUAUAUAGUGAAGUUAAGUAUUAGUAUCCAAAAACUGCUAACAGGAAGAAAAGUAGAU
rnacentral:lncRNA from 1 species